rnacentral:rRNA from 1 species
CGGCGACCGGCGCACGGGUGAGUAACACGUAUCCAACCUGCCGAUGACUCGGGGAUAGCCUUUCGAAAGAAAGAUUAAUACCCGAUGGCAUAGUUCUUCCGCAUGGUAGAACUAUUAAAGAAUUUCGGUCAUCGAUGGAGAUGCGUUCCAUUAGCUUGUUGGCGGGGUAACGGCCCACCAAGGCAUCGAUGGAUAGGGGUUCUGAGAGGAAGGUCCCCCACAUUGGAACUGAGACACGGUCCAAACUCCUACGGGAGGCAGCAG